AUUUGAAUCAUUUGAGGACCUUGUUAAAAUGCAAAUUCUGAUUCCUUAGAUCUGGCUCUGGCCUGAGAUUCUGCAUUUCUAACAAGCUCCUAGGAGAUGCCGAU
rnacentral:pre_miRNA from 1 species